GGGUAGAGUCUCUGAGAAUCUCAAAUGGUCUUUAUUAACCUCUGGGCGCUAUGACUAGAAGAGUAAUUAGGAGACUUCCUACAACAACUUCAAUUUUAAAUGAGCAAAACGACCUGUAAACCAGCGAAAGAGCGUCUAAAAACGUUGAAAAGUUGAUUUUCAACUUUAUAAAAUUAUCCUGUAAGGUCACAACUUGUGACAGGAGGAUUAAACAGGUGUAACUAAGAAGACGAAUGUUGCUAAGCAAUCUAAUUGGUUCUGAAGCUUGUAUUUUUUUUUCCUACUGUUUGCUUUGAAAGGUACAACUCCUGCAGAAAGGGAAGCACAGUAAGAGAACCCCCAAGUGAGGUUCCAUUCAGAUUGAGACAAUGAAUUCUCUCAUAUUCUUAUGUUACAGAAAAUUUGUUUUAAAAUGUGUCAAAAAUUGUUCCGUGUUUGCAAGUGUGCCUCUCACUUGAUUUACACUCUCAUUCUUGUUUACUACUUUUUUGUGGUGGUCGUUGAUGAUUUUAAUCCUUCAAUAUUACCAGUUUAUCAACUUAAAAGUUAAUAGCAGUGUGCUGAUAACACAAUAUUGUCAUAGUAAGAAUUUGUCAAGCUCUACACUUAUGAUUUGUGCUUUGUACAUAUCAUAUAAUUCAAUAAAUUUAAAUAGUAAAGGUAAUGAGAGAAAAGAAAAACGAUGAUAGUUUGAAAUUGACUUUUAUUAAUCUACUCUGAAGUUUUUAGGAUUUAAUUUUUAGACUAUAGCAAAGAGAUGCAAAUAACUGCAUUCCAUUGUUUCUUUUACUGUUAUCUUUAAACAGCAAAAGGAUUACACUAAUUGGAUGUUCUGGAUAUUCAAAUCUCAAAACAUUCUAAAACACACUGGGUAAAACAACAACACUGGGUAAAACAUAAGAAUUUUUUUUUUUUUUUUUUUUUUUUUUUUUGCUUUUUUGUCUCUUCUUAGGGAUGCCCUCAUGGCAUAUGGAGGUUCCCAGGCUAGGGGACUAAUUGAAGCUGUUGCCGCCAGCCUACGCCACAGCCACAGCCACGCCGGAUCUGAGCUCCACUGCGACCUAGACCACAGCUCACGGCAACGCUGGAUCCUUAACCCACUGAGCGAGGCCAGGUAUCGAAUCCUCAUCCUCAUGGUUCCUAGUUGGAUUUGUUUCCGCUGUACCAUGAUGGGAACUCCAACAUUAGAGUUUAGAGCUCCUAUAAUCAUUUUUCAAAAUAUAACAUUUUUAAAUUAUUGUUCCACUUUUCCAACAGUGUUCUUUUCCACAAUUGCAUACAAUAAAUUUUAUUUGUUAUACAGUAAAUUUUAAACAACAAUGAAAAAUAAAUCUGUGUUAAAGACUAACUGGGUUUUACAGUUUACAUUUUGAGAUGAUAUAUUCAAAGAAGUUCUACUGUCUGUCUCUUUUCAGUACUAUAGUAAAAGAAUCCUGUGCCUGUUUUCUUUACAGCCAGCUUAGGCCCACGCUGCCUCAUUUUCUGUUUGUAUGCAAUGAUCUGUCUCUAUUUCAUAUAAUAUUGCUAACCACAAAGUGUUUCAAAAGGUAUAAGUAGAAGUGAGUUUUAGGAUUAGCAGUAUAAGUAACUUAAGUCCCAGAGAGUAUCAGUAUGAGAAAAUGUACUAAUUUGUAUCUCUCUCUCCCGUUUUUCAGGGUAAUUGAUCCCUGCAGUGAUAAUAGUGAUGUCUGGGCAGAAGUAGACAAAAGUCAAAACUCUGUUGUUGAUACAGAUAUCCAGAUGUAGCUAAUAAUAAUCAUAGCUUAUUUAGAUGUGGAAUGCAUUAUUAUGCAUUCUUUCAAAAAAUAUUUUAUUCUUAUUUAGGAAAACAGUAACUAUGUGUUAAGCCAGAUUCUUCAAUGUAUCAGUCAAGGAGUGGCUGAGCCCAUUUAAGUCCAUGUGCACACCAUUUUAGCAAAAUACCAAGAAACAAGAAGUUCUGAUUGUGAAGAUGUAAUCAACCUGAUAAACACUGGGGUAGGAACUGAAACUAUGGAGAAACAGUAAAACACUAAUUAAGACCACUUCAAACCUUUAAUUAACUGAAAUUAGGACUUUCAACUUCAUUUUUUAAAAAUGUUUUUGUCUAGUAUGCAAUCUGUCCUUUAAUUUUUCAUUCAUGUGGAAUUUUAUAUGUUCAAUUUCUAUUCUUUUGGUGUUACCCUGGAAAUUUUACCAUGCAUAUUUAGUAGAACAAAGCUUUAAAUUAAAUAAUAUCUUAAACCCCCUAAUCAGACAAUCUGAGGACCUUAGAACACUUUAAGUCUGGUCACACCUCUGCAGACUAUUAUUUUACAGAGAUGUUUACACACAUGUAUUUAUACAUUUCCUAUUUUACUCACCAUUUCAUAUCUCAGACCAUCAUUCUAUGAUCAUUUUUUUCUUGCUAAAGUAAAUAUUUAGAAGUUCUUUUAGUGGAGGUCUUUUGAUGGCAAACUUGCUGGUUUUAUCUAAAAAUGUCUUUAUAUUACUUUCACUUAAAAAAAAAUAGAUUGGAUUUACAGUGUAAGACCGACACCUUGAAGAUAUUAUUUCAUUCAUUCUGAUUUUCAUCAUUGCUCCUGUGCCUUUAUGGAUGGUCUGUGCUUUUUCUCUGGGUACUUUGAAAUCUUUUGUACUUGCUGUCUUACAGUUCCACUCUGAUGUAUCUACACCUGGGUGUCUUUAAUUCUACUUGGAAAAAUAGAUUUAUAUUUAUGAUCACUUCUAGAAAAUUCUCAAUUAUCUCUGCAAUGAUUCCUUUCCUCUGUUCUCACUACUCUCUUCUUUUAGGAUUCAGAAUAAAUGUUUCUUUUGCCUCUUCUAUUCUUCACGUGUCUAAGCUUGUUUCAUGUUUUUCAACUUCUUACCGCUCUGCUGCAUCCUGGGCAAUUUCUUCAGUCAAAUGUUCUAGUUCACUUUUUUUUUUCUUUCAUUUUUUUUAAAGUUUUAUUGAAGUACAGUUUAUUUACAAUGUUGUGAUAAUUUCUACUGUACAACAGACUGAUUCAGUUAUGCGUGUACACACAUCCAUUCUCUUUCAGAUUUUCCCACACAGAUUUUCACAGAAUAUUGGAUAGAGUUGUCUGUGCUAUACGGCAGGUCCACACUGGCUAAUCAUUCCAUAUAUCUCAGUGUGCAUAUGCCAGUCCCACACCCCCAGUCCAUCCUUCCCCCAACCUGUCCUCUUUGAUAACCAUAAGUUUUUCAAAGUCAAUGAGUCUGUUUCUGUUCUGCAAAUAAUUUCAUUUGUAUCCAUCGCUAGAUUCCACAUAAGUGAUAUCAUAUGAUGUUUGUCUUUCACUACCAGUUCACUCUUUGACUAUGUUUCACCUGUUGUUAAACCCCACACUGAGGUUUUUUUUUUCAAAUUUCAAAAAAUCUAUUUUUAGAAAGUCCAUUUUAUUAUUACACAGAUCUUUCUCAUUAUUCCUAAUAGUCUUAUUGCUUGCCCAUCUUUGUGGUUCCAUUCUUUCUUUAGAUAUGUAUAACCUAGCUAAUCUAUACUUUGUUACAAUUCCAAUAUCUACAUAAGUUGUGUAUUAUUUUUUUUAAUCUUUCUUACCCAUGGUGGCUUGCCCCCUUGUGCACUUGGUGAUCUUAGAUUGUGAAUUUAUAUUUCCUUACUACACCACAGCUCACGGCAACGCCGGAUCGUUAACCCACUGAGCAAGGGCAGGGACUGAACCCGCAACCUCAUGGUUCCUAGUCGGAUUCGUUAACCACUGCGCCACGAUGGGAACUCCGGACUCUUCCUUUCAAAGAUGAUUUGCAUGUGCUUCUGCUGUGUGCCCAGGAGUGCUACUAAUCUGGGGCCUCUUUAACCCAUUCUAUGGCAUCCCCUAAAUGCAGGAGUACCAAAUUCACCUCCUCAUGCAGAGUUAUUGGCAUUUGCACUCAGACCAACUUCAUCUCUCUAGCUUGCAUAAUGAACCAUGUUCUGAUUUCUGCUCAACUCUUAUUUCUCUUUAUUUGAUGGGAAGAGGGUCUUUGAAGAUUUUUCUGAGAGCCAAGUAAAACAAAAAAACAAAAAAUGUUUUUGAUCCAAAUAUAGUUGUUUGGCAACAGGAUGAUUCCCCCUUGCCCCACACAUCUAGUCCACCAUGAUGCCAGAAGCAGAAAUCAUACACACAAUUUUGCAUCUUUUGCAGUGGGGGUCUUUUUGGGGCCGCAUGCACAGCAUAUGGAGGUUCCCAGGCUAGAGGUCGAAUCGGAGCUGCAGUUGCUGGCCCCAGCCUCAGCCACACCAGAUCCAAGCCAAGUCUGCAAACUGCACUACAGCUCACGGCAAUGCCAGAUCCUUAACCCAUUCAGCGAGGCCAGGGAUUGAGCCCUCGUCCUCAUGGAUACUAGUUGGGUUCAUUAACUGCUGAGCCACUACAGGAACUCCAACAUCUUUUGUGUUUCAUUCAAUAAACAUGAAUUGAACAGAGGUUUCAGAUGUGGGUACUGAUUGGUGCUCUUUACUAAGACAAGGAACUUGGGGAGAUGAGUAGCACCAAAGAGGGAGAUGUUAAGUUUAGUUGACUUUUCUAUGGUUGUGAGGCAUCUAGUGAAAAUGUUGUAUGGUAGUUAGAUAUGCAGCUCUGUAGUUCAGAAGAGAUAGCCAGACUCGAGAUAGCCAGACUCAAGGUAGCAUUUCAAAAAUAAGUAGAGGAAGAGAGAAUUUCACAAUGCAAACACAAAGAAAACAGAAUGAGUGGCCAGAGAAGUCAGGCGGAAAAUCAGGAGCCAUUAGAUCAUAAACGCACAAGGAAGAGAGUUUCUCCAAAUGCUAGGAAUGAUAAAGAGUAGCACAUAAUGCUGAGAAGUCAAGAAGAUUGAAAGGUGUUCAUUGGAUUUGCAACACAGAGGCUGCUUUAGAAACUGGAAAACAGAUUUAAGGUGGGUAUUGGGGAAAUAAACCAUCUUGCAAUAGGUAAAGGAAAAAAUAGAAGGCAAGGGGGCUGAGACUUCCUUCAUUCAAGCCUUUUGGCAGUGAAGAGUAGAGAAAACAUCCAAAGAGAAUAUAUGGGUAAAUUUGUUGUUUUAGUUGAGAGUCUUGAAUGAUUAUAUGCUGAUAGGAUGGCACUAGUAGAGAAACAAUCUUAAAGAUACAGGAGAGAAGGAAGAUUAAGUAAUAAUACUUCAGGGCUCUGAAACAGAAGGAAAAAAAAACAAAAAACUCAGGGGUCCAAAGUACUGUUAGAUAGAAUUGGCCUUAAACAAAAGAUGGGACUCCUUCAUUGUAACAGCAAUAUAUAAAUCGUAGUUUUUUAUCUUCUUACUGCAGUGCAGGAUACAUACAGAAAAGAGAACCAAUCAUAAAUAUAUACC
rnacentral:lncRNA from 1 species